UGAAAAUAAAAUGCUUCGCUGGGGCGCAGCUUGAUACGACCGCAGAGGUCGAACCCUGAACAGUUGGGGCAAGUAUGGACACAACAUUCAAGCUUGAUACAGCUCUGAAUUUGGAUUGUUAUUAAAUAUUUGACACAGCAUAGGUUUCUGACACAGAAAGAAUGUGGUCUAAGAAUUUGAAUUUUUUUUAAUUUACCUAUUAUGGUCCAAUGUCCAAAAUCAAAAUACAUGGUUAGAUUCAGCAUAUCAAAGAACCCCAUAUAUUCAAUUUUUGUUAAAAUCAAACAAAGUUUAAUUUUGGACCCCAACAUGGACAAACUUGAAAACUGGGCCCAUAAUCGAAAAUCUAAACACAUGUUUAGAUUCAGCAUAUCAAAGAACCCCAAGAAUUCAAUUUUUGCUAAAAUCAAACUAAGUUUAAUUUUGGACCCUUUGGACCUUAAUGUAGACCAAUUUAAAAAACGGGACUUAAAAUUAAAAAUCUAAAUACACGGUUAGAUUUGGAAUAUCAAAGAACCCCAAUAAUUCAAUUUUUGAUGAAAUCAAACAAAGUUUAAUUUUGGACCCUUUUGACCUCAAUAUGAACCAAUUUGAUAGCGGGGCCCACAAAUAAAAAAUCUAAAUUCAUGGUUAGAUUCAGCAUAUCAAAGAACCCCAUAUAUUCAAUUUUUGUUGAAAUCAAACAAAGUUUAAUUUUGGACCCCAACUUGGACCAACUUGAAAACUGGGCCCAUAAUCAAAAAUCUAAACACAUGUUUAGAUUCAGCAUAUCAAAGAACCCCAAGAAUUCAAUUUUUGUUAAAAUCAAACUAAGUUUAAUUUUGGGCCCUUUGGACCUCAAUGAAGACCAAUUUAAAAAACGGGACCCAAAUUAAAAAUCUAAAAACACGGUAAGAUUUGGCAUAUCAAAGAACCCCAAUAAUUCAAUUUCUGAUGAAAGCAAACAAAGUUUAAUUUUGGACCCUUUUGACCUCAAUAUGAACCAAUUUGAAAGCGGGGCCUACAAAUAAAAAAUCUAAAUACAUGGUUAGAUUCAGCAUAUCAAUGAACCUCAUAUAUUCAAUUUUUGUUGAAAUCAAACAAAGUUUAAUUUUGGACCCCAAUUUGGACCAACUUGAAAACUGGGCCCAUAAUCAAAAAUCUAAAUACAUGUUUAGAUUCAGCAUAUCAAAGAACCCCAUAUAUUCAAUUUUUGUUGAAAUCAAACAAACUUUAAAUACUGGACCCUAUCUUGGACCAACUUGAAAACUGGGCCCAUAAUCAAAAAUCUAAACACAUGUUUAGAUUCAGUAUAUCAAAGAACCCCAAGAAUUCAAUUUUUGUUAAAAUCAAACUAAGUUUAAUUUUGGACCCUUUGGACCUUAAUGUAGACCAAUUUAAAAAACAGGACCCAAAAUUAAAAAUCUAAAUACACGGUUAGAUUUGGAAUAUCAAAGAACCCCAAUAAUUCAAUUUUAGAUGAAAUCAAACAAAGUUUAAUUUUGGACCCUUUUGACCUCAAUAUGAACCAAUUUGAUAACGGGGUCCACAAAUAAAAAAUCUAAAUACAUGGUUAGAUUCAGCAUAUCAAAGAACCCCAUAUAUUCAAUUUUUGUUGAAAUCAAACAAAGUUUAAUUUUGGACCCCAAUUUGGACCAACUUGAAAACUGGGCCAAAAAUCAAAAAUCUAAAUACAUGUUUAGAUUCAGCAUAUCAAAGAACCUCAUAUAUUCAAUUUUUGCUAAAAUCAAACAAAGUUUAAUUUUGGACCCUUUGGACCUUCAAAUGGAUUUUUUUGUAAAAAAAAAAAGAUGCAACAUUUGCAGAUAUUUUUACUGGUCUUCCUUUAUAAAUAUGCAUUUCUUUACACAUAAUUUAAAAGCAGUGUAAGGGAAGUAACCAAAACGUUGUAUUUGGAUUACCUCCCUUACACUGUUUUAAAUUAUCUUUAUUGUUCAUUAACCAUUACUUUAUACAUAAUUUAAAAGCAGUGUAAGGGAGAUAAUUUCAAUGAUGUAUUUGAUUUAUCUCCCUUACACUGCUUUAAAUUAUGUUUUGAACUAAAGUAUUUGUCCAUUAACCAGGACAACCUUUUUUUUUCCCUUUUUUGCCCCUAAUUCCUAAACGGUUUGAGCCAUAACCCCCCAAAGCAAAUCCUAACCAUCCCUUUGUGGUAUGGAAACUUGUAGUAUAAUUUCAGAGAGAUCCAUACACUGUUCCACAGUUAUUGUCUGGAAACUAGAAAAUGCUUAUUUUUGGGCCCUUUUUGGCCCCUAAUUCCUUAACUGUUGGUACCAUAAACCCCAAAA